CUUGCAACACUUACUGUCUUGUGCCUCCAUCUGGGAACGCUUCCACCUAGACACCAGCCACCACGCUGUGAAGAAACCAAAGCCGCAGGGAGGAUACAUCACACAUUGGGACUUCCCUGGUGGCACAGUGGUUAAGAACCUGCCUGCCACUGCAGGGGACACGGCUUCGAGCCCUGGUCCGGGAAGAUCCCACAUGCCAUGAAGCAACUAAGCCCGUGAGUCACAACUACAGAGCCUGCGCUCUAAAGCCCGCGAGCCACAACUACUGAGCCCAUGUGCACAACUACUGAAGCCCACGCGCCUAGAGCCCGUGCUCCACAACAAGAGAAGCCACCGCGAUGAGAAGCCUGCGCAUCACAACGAACAGUAGCCCCUGCUCGCCGCAACUAGAGAAAGCCCACAGGCAGCAACGAAGACCCAACACAGCCAAAAAUAAAUAAAUUAAUUUUUUUAAAAAUAAGCACACAUUAAUAACCCAGCUAUACAGUUACCAAUAAUUUUAAAAUACCAGUAAAACAAUAAAAAAUUCUUAAUUUUA